rnacentral:rRNA from 1 species
UACGGAGGAUGCAAGCGUUAUCCGGAAUGAUUGGGCGUAAAGCGUCCGCAGGUGGCUGUGUAAGUCUGCUGUCAAAGAGCGAAGCUCAACUUCGUAAAGGCAGUGGAAACUACACGGCUAGAGUGCGUUCGGGGCAGAGGGAAUUCCUGGUGUAGCGGUGAAAUGCGCAGAGAUCAGGAAGAACACCGGUGGCGAAGGCGCUCUGCUAGGCCGCAACUGACACUGAGGGACGAAAGCUAGGGGAGCGAAUGGG